UCAGGAGGACGUGCUCUACAACCCUGUUGGGUUUCAUCAGAAUCGGUGGAUUCCACUUGAGGACCUCUCCUUGUCAGUUACAAAACAGAAUUCUUUGGAUUAUAAGGGAAACUUUACUUGGGACAGCCACUGUCAAUCGAAUCUACCGUUCGGUCAAAAUUUGUCUAUUACAACCUUUACUAAGUCCUUCGAUUGCCUAAAUCAUCGUCGAGAAUAAUCUUCGUGAAAAUCAAAACUAUAUAAACUUGAUUGAAAUACUCGCUGCCACCUUAGUGCUUUUUUCCAUUUCUAAUAGUUUGAUAAAACAUAGCAUAAUACGAUGGUCCGCCAUUUUAUCCUUGUGCGUAGCGAUCUCACAUAUUCUACUCACAGGAAUUGGCAACUCAAAUUUCGAGAACGAAAAGCAUGCGAAUUAAAUUUCAGAAUAUCAAUUCUUUCUAAACAUAGGAGUUCGUUUGUCGUGAUACUGCCAACACGAGUGCGUUGCAACAUGAAUAACUCGAGAAUAAGGCCCGUGUUAUCCAAAACCUUAUCUUCUUCUGUUAAAUGUAAAUAUAGGCUAUCUUCUGUAAGUGAAUAGAAUAACCGGGCUCUGUGGUAAUUAUCAAAUAUAGAUUACCCAAAACAAUAUUACUGGUAACCAUUAUAUAGUACUUUACAAUCUCUGUCAAUCUGUUAUUGAAAAUUUUAAUUAAAGCUCUGGGAUUGCAAUAUAUUAUUUCUUUGGACAUCAAUAUAGUCUGUUUUAAAUAUUCGAGAUUGGAAUAUUCUUUGAAAAAUGUAAAGCUGAUUCACCUGUCAUGUUAUCCCAACUGAAAGGCAGAUGUAUGUAGGGGUGACCGGGGCUAGCUUUACAAUUUCAGUUUAGAAAUUUUUUUUAUUUUUCUAUUACUCCUAAACAGA
rnacentral:lncRNA from 1 species